GUGAAUCAAGGAAGGAUAAGGGGAGAGUUUUUUGGAGAAAAUCAAGGAAAUUGAGAAGGGGGAGUAUUGUGGCAUUUGGGGGUUAUUCAACCUUGAAAAUUCAGCUAGGGGGAGUUUUGGGGGUCAUUUCCGGCUUUUGAGGAGCUUUUGGUUUUUAUUUUGUUUUAUUUUUCUCUCUAUCUGCCUCAGUGGGUGAGCAUUUUUUUGUUUUCUCCUUUUUCUUUUGGUGCUGAAUCUUGCAAAGACUUCAAAGUAUCCCUCGGGUUUGUUCGUUUUGUUUUGUUUCUUUUCCCUUUAUGACCUUCUUGUUUUGGCUGAAUAGCCUUUGGUUCUUUCCUCUUUUCUUUGUGGCCGAAUAUUGCCUUUCUUUCUUCUUCUCUCUUGGCCGAAUACUGCCUUUCUC
rnacentral:lncRNA from 1 species